UACGAAGGGGGCUAGCGUUGUUCGGAUUUACUGGGCGUAAAGCGCACGUAGGCGGAUUGGUCAGUUAGGGGUGAAAUCCCAGAGCUCAACUCCAGAACUGCCUUUGAUACUGGGGAUCUCGAGUCCGGAAGAGGUGAGUGGAACUCCGAGUGUAGAGGUGAAAUUCGUAGAUAUUCGGAAGAACACCAGUGGCGAAGGCGGCUCACUGGUCCGGUACUGACGCUGAGGUGCGAAAGCGUGGGGAGCAAACAGG
rnacentral:rRNA from 1 species